rnacentral:rRNA from 1 species
UACGGAGGGGGCGAGCGUUAUUCGGAAUUAUUGGGCGUAAAGGGCGCGUAGGCGGCUUGGCAAGUCAAAGGUGAAAUCCCUCGGCUCAACUGAGGAACUGCCUUUGAAACUGCCGUGACUCGAGUCCGGUAGGGGAGUGCGGAAUUCCCGGUGUAGCGGUGAAAUGCGCAGAUAUCGGGAGGAACACCAGUGGCGAAGGCGGCACUCUGGGCCGGAACUGACGCUGAGGAGCGAAAGCGUGGGGAGCGAACAGG